rnacentral:rRNA from 1 species
GACGUAGGGCGCGCGCGUUGUCCGGAUUUAUUGGGCGUAAAGAGCUCGUCGGCGGCUUGUCGCGUCGUCCGUGAAAACUUGGGGCUCAACCCCAAGCUUGCGGUCGAUACGGGCAGGCUCGAGUUCGGUAGGGGAGACUGGAAUUCCUGGUGUAGCGGUGAAAUGCGCAGAUAUCAGGAGGAACACCGGUGGCGAAGGCGGGUCUCUGGGCCGAUACUGACGCUGAGGAGCGAAAGCGUGGGGAGCGAACAGG